rnacentral:rRNA from 1 species
CCUACGGGAGGCAGCAGUAAGGAAUAUUGGACAAUGCUCGCAAGAGUGAUCCAGCCAUGCCGCGUGCAGGAAGAAUGCCCUAUGGGUAGUAAACUGCUUUUGAACUAGAGAAAACCCCAGUACGUGUACUGGGCUGAUAGUAUAGUUAGAAUAAGCAUCGGCUAACUUCGUGCCAGCAGCCGCGGUAAGACGAAGGAUGCAAGCGUUAUCCGGAUUCAUUGGGUUUAAAGGGAGCGUAGGUGGACUGAUAAGUCAGUGGUGAAAUCUCCGAGCUUAACUCGGAAAUUGCCAUUGAUACUGUUGGUCUUGAGUACAGUUGCUGUGGGCGGAAUAUGACAUGCAGUGGUGAAAUACAUAGAGAUGUCAUAGAACACCGAUUGCGAAGGCAGCUCACAAAGCUGUAACUGACACUGAGGCUCGAAAGUGCGGGGAUCAAACAGGAUUAGAUACCCUGGUAGUCCGCACCGUAAACGAUGAUUACUCGCUGCUAGGGGGCAACCUUUAGUGGCUUAGCGAAAGCGAUAAGUAAUCCACCUGGGGAGUACGCCGGCAACGGUGAAACGUCAAAUGAAUUGA